rnacentral:rRNA from 1 species
AUGCAGGGGCGAAUGACCUGUGGGCUCAUGGCGAGUGUAGAUAGGCUGGGUCAAGCUUUCCUCGAUGUUCGCGCGCCUCUCCACACUCGCCGCGAGCGUGCGUCGCUCUCCUCCAUGUUUGUUGCUCGCUCCCAUGGCUGGUUGGAUGGUGCCGCUAGGAAGGAGAGAUGGUCUGACAGGACGCACGUCCCACACAUGGCGCGCGUGGAGCGGUUGGCCAAACCCUGGCGCGCACGAUGCAGCUGUCAGUGCAACCGCUCUCUCAAAAUGCAGAUGAGACGCAAACGAAAGGCAAUCAAACCACAGACAUGUAGGGCCAGAAGGGAGAUGGCGUGGGCGUCUUCUCCCCUUCUUCCGCACCUUUCUGCACGCACGAGAAAGGAUGAACCCAUCCUGAGCCGGAGUACUCCGAGCAGUGCGCCCCUUCCCCCGUUCUCCUCCACCAUGCCUGGGCUCCGCCUCCUCCGCCCGCAUCCUCCUCCUCCCCUCUCUCUCUCUUCUAAACCAUCGUCCUCCUCCCUCGUUGCUGGACCCUGCCCUGCUUCGCCUCCUCCGCCAGCCUCUUCCUCCUUGCCGUCGAUGGUAGCGGAGUUCUUGCCUUCAACGCUGAGUUUUGCUUCCUGCUGCUGGGUGUUACUCCUCUCGUUGAUCUUUCCCGCUUUUCUCGUCGUUCUGGCAUUUGAAGCUCAUGUGAAUGGCCUCUCGACUAAAGAAGGCGCCCUACUGCUCCUGAGCCCAAAUCCCAUGACCAUGCCCCCACCUCUCCUUGAAGGAGUCUGGUUGCUAAGUUUUCUUAAUCAUACCCAUGAUAAAGCUACACGGUUGGAUGCUAUUGAUCACGUAAGCAGUUUUUGUAUAGCGAUAGCCAAUAGUGCGACAUCACACUACUCCAUUUUCACAGGCCAUGCCACAUCUUUACAUGAUAAGCUGACACCUAAUAAGGAUCAUGAGAACAACAAAGAUGCUAAGAGGCAACAUUUUGGGGUUAAGGAUAUUAACAACAACAGGGCUUAUGAGGCCGAAGAGAGCUCGAGUGGUGUCUUUUGGUUCUUGAAGCCUUGCCCUUUCCUGGUGGAGUAG